rnacentral:rRNA from 1 species
GAACCUUGGGCCUGGCUGGCCGGUCCGCCUCACCGCGAGUACUGGUCCGGCUGGGCCUUUCCUUCUGGGGAACCUCAUGGCCUUCACUGGCUGUGGGGGGAACCAGGACUUUUACUGUGAAAAAAUUAGAGUGUUCAAAGCAGGCCUUUGCUCGAAUACAUUAGCAUGGAAUAAUAGAAUAGGACGUGCGGUUCUAUUUUGUUGGUUUCUAGGACCGCCGUAAUGAUUAAUAGGGAUAGUCGGGGGCGUCAGUAUUCAGCUGUCAGAGGUGAAAUUCUUGGAUUUGCUGAAGACUAACUACUGCGAAAGCAUUCGCCAAGGAUGUUUUCAUUAAUCAGGGAACGAAAGUUAGGGGAUCGAAGACGAUCAGAUACCGUCGUAGUCUUAACCAUAAACUAUGCCGACUAGGGAUCGGACGGGAUUCUAUGAUGACCCGUUCGGCACCUUACGAGAAAUCAAAGUUUUUGGGUUCUGGGGGGAGUAUGG